rnacentral:lncRNA from 1 species
GCCCUCUAUUCCACCCCUCACCUUGAAAUACAGCAAUAUGAUAUGGCAAGAGUCUUAUCCAGCGGAUGCCACCCCUAGGUCGGCAAUCACUGUUCCACCUCUCUGGGGUGACAGCAGGGCUCACAGGAGGAUACCUGGGGAGAUGUGCAUUUUCAGAAACUCCCAUUUCACUUUUAAGGGCAGACAACCUGCCCAUCUGUGCUGAUUUGGAAAAGCUGGGUGCAUGGGCAAGUGAGCGUGGGACCCUCAGGGACAGGAGCUGGUGGAUGACCAGGACAAGCUGUUGUAUGGCUGGCUCUCCCUGCCCCAAACCCUGAUGUUCCAGAGUUGCAAGUGAGCCUGCCAAGGGCUAGUGUCCCGAAGAAAGAUCUGGAAUGCCUCAUCUCUGGUUUUCACAGCUAUACUUUAGUGCCCAGAACACCACCGCCUGGCACUGAAUGAAAGUUUGUUGUCCACAGGAAAUGUGCUGCAGCCUGGGGCCGGGGCAAUCAUGGCCCGAAUCGCCCAGUUUCUGAGUGACAUCCCGGAGACUGUGCCUUUGUCCACUGUCAAUAGACAGUGUUCGUCGGGGCUACAGGCAGUGGCCAGCAUAGCAGGGUGGAGUCCAUGUCCCUGGCUGACAGAGGGAACCCUGGAAAUAUUACUUCGCGCUUGAU